rnacentral:rRNA from 1 species
GUGGGGAAUCUUAGACAAUGGGGGCAACCCUGAUCUAGCCAUGCCGCGUGAUCGAUGAAGGCCUUAGGGUUGUAAAGAUCUUUCAGCUGGGAAGAUAAUGACGGUACCAGCAGAAGAAGCCCCGGCUAACUCCGUGCCAGCAGCCGCGGUAAUACGGAGGGGGCUAGCGUUGUUCGGAAUUACUGGGCGUAAAGCGCACGUAGGCGGAUUGGAAAGUUGGGGGUGAAAUCCCGGGGCUCAACCCCGGAACUGCCUUCAAAACUCCCAGUCUGGAGGUCGAGAGAGGUGAGUGGAAUUCCGAGUGUAGAGGUGAAAUUCGUAGAUAUUCGGAGGAACACCAGUGGCGAAGGCGGCUCACUGGACGACUGUUGACGCUGAGGUGCGAAAGCGUGGGGAGCAAACAGGAUUAGAUACCCGUGUAGUCC